AGAAAAGCGGCGCUCGGCGCCUCCCGCUCUCCUCAGAGCGGACCACAACUCCCGGCGGCCCCCGCGGCGCCGCGCUCCUAUUGGCUGUGUGGGGCGCCCGGCGCUCUCUGCGGCCGCACGGAGGUUGCUGGGAAGGCGCCGCGCCGCCUGACGGGACGCGCGCGGCAGCGGUACCAGGCCCGGCCCCGGCUUGUGACCGCUGUGAGGAGAGAAAAUGGCGCGGGGCCGGGAAGCAGCGGCGCUCUCUGCCGCCUCCACCCGCGCGGCGGGCCUACCCGCAGUCAGCUCCUUGUAUUUCGCUUUUCGAGCCUGGUGUUCUCCUUAGCUCAGAGUUGGCCCCGCUUAGUUUCCUCCUUCCUCAGAGGCGCUGAGGUGAAGCCCUGGGGCGCUGCGCGGGGAUGGCCCAGGCCCACCUGCGGCCCUCAGUGCUGAGCAGCGCCUCCAGCUCCCGGAGCCCUCGCAGAGCCCCGGGCUGUGCCUGCCUGCCGCCGAGGCACCACACGCCCACCAGCGGCUGCGCAGCGUUACAGGGACAGCGGCACAGCACUGCUUUGGGCCACCAAGGUCGGGCAGGCCUCAGGCUGACGAUGCGGCAGGCACUGAAUGCAGUGGUAGGCAUUGAAAAUUGGAAGCAAAAAUGUCAUCAGCAGCGAUCUGCUGUAACGACGCAGCAUUGCACCACCACGCUUGUGAUGGAAGUGCACACAGUAGCUCUCCUCAGCAUCUUUUUUUUGUUACCUGUUAAAACCCGAGCCAAAUGUUUAAAAACGUGGAGUAGAGCAGAUGGAAAUGACUCAAAGUCCUUUGUUACUGACAAGAUGCCUGCUUUGUGGUGAAUUUCUGUCAGCAGAAAUGUACUUUAUUUGUAACAGUAUUAUAAGGAAUUCUUCCCGUCAGAACUACACCCUUCUCAUACAAUUUGCACACAGUUGGAGCCCAGCAGGUCUUCCUGCCCACCAAACCCCAUCUCCCUGCUGCUGCUCAGCACCCUGUGGAGGAAGUGGGACUGAUGUGCCCCAGGAGCUGCCACAUUUAUGCAGCUGCAGCCAAAACUUGCUCAACACAGCCAUGGCCGUGUGCUUGCCCCGGGUACCUCGCAGCCUCACGCCGACCUCAGCCCUCACCCCAACACUCUCCAUCCCCAUGGGACCCAUGUCUCGUGGUCCCUCCUGCCACACCUAGGGACUGAGAGCUGGGCUGGAUUCUUUCCACCUUCACACCAUGGCCUACAACUAAGGACUCAGAGAUGAAGUUGUUCCCUGGUUGCUGUACAGACCCCGAUCUGCUCGCUCUCAUUGUUCACUCCAGGGACCAAACAAGCCAGCAGACAUUUGAGACAUCAAAGCAAAAAUUCAGUAGGUCUAAUUCAAAACACAUGCAGGGAAGAGCCUUGCUGGCUGGGACAAUGCCAUGUCACAGAGCCACCUGCAAAGAACCACUGUACACCUUGGCACUGCCACAUUGUUUUCUGAAAGUGCAAAGCAUUACUGAAUGUGUAAGAAAAGAAACAGGCAAACAUUCCUGCAGGGGUUUGAAGGGAGGUAAAUCCACGGCCUGGCAGCCUGAAUGGCACUGUGGUUAAUGCAUCUCAGUGACAGGUGCUACAGGAGCACUUGCAGAACUCGGGCACUGCAGUAGAAGCUGUUGGCAGAAACCUGGGCAAAAAGCUGUAACUUGCUUAAUCACUGGCAGAAAAAAAACCAAGAUAGCAGUGUUGGCAGUAAUUAAGGUCAGAAACAUCACAAAGAAAAGGCAGAAUAGCAGCAGCAGCAAAGCCUCCCACAAGGGCUGCAGCACCCGAGGGAC
rnacentral:lncRNA from 1 species